CUGAACGAUCUAGUAUCAUCCGUCGGCUAUUGGUGCCAUCCGAUGGUCUAGGACUCGGCUUCGGUGCCGUGCGAGGAUGCCGGAGACCUCCUGGGCCGGGGAUACUAUCCUUGCGGUGGUCUGGCAGGCGGAGGCGGGGUCCUGCCCGGCCGCCCCAUGCUCUGCAGUCUGGGGAGCCCGGUCUCGGGGGCGCAGGCCGCAGCCCUGGCGGGACCCGGAGCUUUGGACCGUCAGGGGCCAGUCCCGACUCUUUCGGCGGCGCCAGGACCUCCCAUUAGUGGUCGAGGCAGCUCCUUGGCUCCGAGAAGCAUCAGGGAGCCGUAGCCUUGCCAUAAUGGUGCGCAUGAAUGUCCUGGCUGAUGCUCUCAAGAGUAUCAACAAUGCCGAAAAGAGAGGCAAACGCCAGGUUCUUAUUAGGCCGUGCUCCAAAGUCAUCGUCAGGUUUCUCACUGUGAUGAUGAAGCAUGCUGCAACGUGUCACUGAAAGGGCCCUGAACCUAAGAGCUCCUUGGGAUGGAAAGGAGGAUUGUUUUGUCUUGGGCACGAGGUUACAUUGGCGAAUUUGAAAUCAUCGAUGAUCACAGGGCUGGGAAAAUUGUUGUGAACCUCACAGGCAGGCUAAAUAAG